rfam:Nicotiana sylvestris Nsyl_contig151678, whole genome shotgun sequence.
CACCGCCCGUCACACUAUGAGAGCUGGUCAUGCCCGAAGUCGUUACCUUAACCGCAAGGAGGGGGAUGCCGGAGGCACGACUAGUGACUGGAGUGUAGUCGUAACAAGGUAGACGUACUGGAAGGUACGGCUG